ACGCUGGCGGCGUGCCUAAUACAUGCAAGUCGAACGCACAGCGAAAGGUGCUUGCACCUUUCAAGUGAGUGGCGAACGGGUGAGUAACACGUGGACAACCUGCCUCAAGGCUGGGGAUAACAUUUGGAAACAGAUGCUAAUACCGAAUAAAACUUAGUGUCGCAUGACACAAAGUUAAAAGGCGCUUCGGCGUCACCUAGAGAUGGAUCCGCGGUGCAUUAGUUAGUUGGUGGGGUAAAGGCCUACCAAGACAAUGAUGCAUAGCCGAGUUGAGAGACUGAUCGGCCACAUUGGGACUGAGACACGGCCCAAACUCCUACGGGAGGCUGCAGUAGGGAAUCUUCCACAAUGGGCGAAAGCCUGAUGGAGCAACGCCGCGUGUGUGAUGAAGGCUUUCGGGUCGUAAAGCACUGUUGUAUGGGAAGAACAGCUAGAAUAGGAAAUGAUUUUAGUUUGACGGUACCAUACCAGAAAGGGACGGCUAAAUACGUGCCAGCAGCCGCGGUAAUACGUAUGUCCCGAGCGUUAUCCGGAUUUAUUGGGCGUAAAGCGAGCGCAGACGGUUUAUUAAGUCUGAUGUGAAAGCCCGGAGCUCAACUCCGGAAUGGCAUUGGAAACUGGUUAACUUGAGUGCAGUAGAGGUAAGUGGAACUCCAUGUGUAGCGGUGGAAUGCGUAGAUAUAUGGAAGAACACCAGUGGCGAAGGCGGCUUACUGGACUGCAACUGACGUUGAGGCUCGAAAGUGUGGGUAGCAAACAGGAUUAGAUACCCUGGUAGUCCACACCGUAAACGAUGAACACUAGGUGUUAGGAGGUUUCCGCCUCUUAGUGCCGAAGCUAACGCAUUAAGUGUUCCGCCUGGGGAGUACGACCGCAAGGUUGAAACUCAAAGGAAUUGACGGGGACCCGCACAAGCGGUGGAGCAUGUGGUUUAAUUCGAAGCAACGCGAAGAACCUUACCAGGUCUUGACAUCCUUUGAAGCUUUUAGAGAUAGAAGUGUUCUCUUCGGAGACAAAGUGACAGGUGGUGCAUGGUCGUCGUCAGCUCGUGUCGUGAGAUGUUGGGUUAAGUCCCGCAACGAGCGCAACCCUUAUUGUUAGUUGCCAGCAUUCAGAUGGGCACUCUAGCGAGACUGCCGGUGACAAACCGGAGGAAGGCGGGGACGACGUCAGAUCAUCAUGCCCCUUAUGACCUGGGCUACACACGUGCUACAAUGGCGUAUACAACGAGUUGCCAACCCGCGAGGGUGAGCUAAUCUCUUAAAGUACGUCUCAGUUCGGAUUGUAGUCUGCAACUCGACUACAUGAAGUCGGAAUCGCUAGUAAUCGCGGAUCAGCACGCCGCGGUGAAUACGUUCCCGGGUCUUGUACACACCGCCCGUCACACCAUGGGAGUUUGUAAUGCCCAAAGCCGGUGGCCUAACCUUUUAGGAAGGAGCCGUCUAAGGCAGGACAGAUGACUGGGGU
rnacentral:rRNA from 1 species